rnacentral:rRNA from 1 species
GACGAACGCUGGCGGCGUGCUUAACACAUGCAAGUCGAACGGAAAGGCCCUGCUUUUGUUGGGUGCUCGAGUGGCGAACGGGUGAGUAACACGUGAGUAACCUGCCCUUGACUUUGGUAUAACUUCAGGAAACUGGGGCUAAUACCGGAUAGGAGCUCCUGCUGCAUUGUGGUGGUUGGAAAGUUUCGGCGGUUGGGGAUGGACUCGCGGCUUAUCAGCUUGUUGGUGGGGUAGUGGCUUACCAAGGCUUUGACGGGUAGCCGGCCUGAGAGGGUGACCGGCAACAUUGGGACUGAGAUACGGCCCAGACUCCUACGGGAGGCAGCAGUGGGGAAUAUUGCAAAAUGGGCGGAAGCCUGAUGCAGCAACGCCGCGUGCGGGAUGACGGCCUUCGGGUUGUAAACCGCUUUCGCCUGUGACGAAGCGUGAGUGACGGUAAUGGGUAAAGAAGCACCGGCUAACUACGUG